ensembl:lncRNA
ACUUGGGGCCUGCUGCCUGGGGAUGCUAAAGACUCAUUCUUACAGAGCCACAGUGUGUGUGGGAACCAGGAGCAUCCCACGCAAGAAUAGGUUGGGAAGACAACCUGGCUCUGGGCUCCUGGAAGUCCUGUGCCCUCCCUGGGCCUCGGUGUCUUCCUCAUCCACACAGUGGGCCAGCUUGGGUGGAAUUCGUGAGCCUUUAGUGCAGAAUCAGUUUGACUGAUGAGAGACAUUUGGCCUGAUGUUCUGGUCACUGCGCACAUUUGAGUCACAAAGAUGAAAAGCCCAAAUCAUUUGUUUGGCAGCAUCCUAGGAGCUGGGAGGAUGGAGAAGGGAUAGGCAGAGGCAUUGACAACAGCGGUCAUCAUGAACGCCAAGGACCUGGGGGGGCUGCGUUCCUCCACGCCCUGGGUGUACAUCCAUUUUAUGUGGUUGUUACGUGAGCACGCCUUAAUAGAGGUUGCUAUUUCGGGGGGGUGGGGGGAAAUGCCUAUUCCCAUGAUUCCUCCCCGCCCCCCCCGCCCCCCGCCCCGCAUCCAACUUUCAGUUAUGAAAAGCCAGAUUCACAGAAAAACUGGAAGGCCAGCAUGAUGAAAUUCCAUACCCCUUUCACCCAGACUCACCAGCCUUCACUACUUUGCCAUAUUUGCUUAAUCCCCUCCCACCCUCCACAUCAUCCCCUUCAUACCCAGAGAUACUGGGAGGAGGAAGUGGCCUCUCUAAUUUCUAGGUGGUUGGACCAAAGGAGAAAUUGUUUCUCUUGCAGGAACAAGAGCGUUCUCUUUGGUAGCAGUGCUGUAGUCACCACUAAGAAGUUUAGCGUUUGCACAAUAAAAUUAUCUAAGAGGCAACCCAUAUUCACAUUUCCUACUUUGUCCCAAAAUUUGUCCUCCAGGGCUUUUUAUGUGAAUCUGACAAUCCAAGGUUGCAUCUCACAUUGCUUGCCUGCUUUCCCCAGACCCCUCCAAUCUAGGACAUUUUUCUCCUAUUUUUGUUUGCCAUGAUGUUGCUGGUUUGGAGUCUGGGCCAGUUGUCCUGUGGGCUGGCCCACGACCUGCCUCUGCUUCCUUAGGUUAAAGAAUUUCAGGCAAGAGAACCACAUAAUUGAUGUUGUAAUGAUGAAUGCAAUUGAGAAGUCUGGCUCCCUGGAGACCUGUGUUCCCUCUCUCUCAUUGUAGAUAAACAAGGCAUGUUAAAUGCCAUUCUCCUUUCUUGGAGACACUCACUGAAGCUGCAGGAGAGGUGUCCAGGAGCCCCUGGAUGCUGGGUCUCAUCACCAAAGCUGAAUAAGGCUCUGCUAUUUCUGACUUUUCACGUAGAUCUCUCUUCCGUGCCGAGAGUCAGCAAUCAUUCCCCUAAACACCUGUGGGGAUGGUCCAGCUAUAAAUAGACAAAGCACAGAGAUGUCCUUUCAUCCAUUAUAAAGGGCUGGCAGGUGGAGCCCAGUAGGGUGGCUGGAAGGAUACCUGUGAGCCAGUGGGGCACUUGGCACCCAGGUGCUUUUCAAUGAGUGGUGGCAAGCGCCUUUUCAAUCAAUACUCCUCAAAAAUGUAAUUUGUUGGCAUGGCACUCUUCUUGGCCAUUAAGUGCUAAGACUGGUGACCUCUGUUUGAGAUGUUUGUUGGCACUGGCAAGUUCUAUAGCAUGGUCUUCUCAGUUCCAGUAGCAUACGGCAACCCACCCGCUGUGGCUCUACCUUUUAUUUUGAUCAAGAAAAUCACGUCCACAUGGGUUCCUGCCUCUGAGCCUCUGCCCACGCUGUUCCCACUCUCCAGAGUGGACGUGGAGAUGGGAGCAUCUCAUGAAUCCUUUCACAGCUCCUCCCGACAAUGUGCUCCACGAAGGACUCAGUGAUGCCCUCCGGGGUCCCCAGUCCUUCUUUCCAUAAUGGAUGAAUAUUCUGGGAAUAUGUUGGGAAUGACUCUGAUGCUGGGAAAGAUUGAGGGCAGGAGGAGAAGGGGGAGAUAGAGGAUGAGAUGGUUGAAUGGCAUCACUGACUCAAUAGACAGGAGUUUGACCAAACUCUGGGAGAUAGUGAAGGACAGGGGAGCCUGGCAUGCUGCAGUCCUUGGGCUCACAAAGAGUCGGACAGGACUUAGUGACUAAACAGCAACUUAGUGACUAAACAGCAACAUGAACAAUACUGGGAUAAGUAGACUGCCAAUGGUCCUGGCUAUUAAGUGCUGGGCAGUGCCCACAGCAGGGAAUAAAGACAAUCAGAUUUCCAGCAUCUUGCCUAAAAUGGCCAUCUGUGGCUGUCAUCGAGGAAUGUCUUAACUACAAUGCAGACCUUUGUUCCAUCCUUGGAAACCAACACACAUCCUCUAUGUUAAAAAACGCAAAACCUCCGCUUUGCCCCUUUGCAAACCAUCACCCUACCAUUGGCAUCUCAAUGGUGUUUGCCCAGUAGUGUUGGGUGGGCCACACAAGAUAGGGCCGUGAGCUGUCCACAGCUGGGCAUUUCCUAUAAAACAUGAUCAGUAGGUCUUCAGGGCCUUCCCUAGUAGUUCAAACGGUAAAGAUUCUGCCUACAAUGCAGGAGGCUCAGUGUUCCCAUCUUUAAAUUGGAGAUUCUAGAAGCAGCCACUGUGUGCAGCGGGGUUCAAGGACAGCAUGUAAUGAAGUUUACGGGCCCCUGCUCUGAGACGAGUGCCAAGCAAGGCUUCUGACGUUGUUUGCAUUUCUCAUGAUGGCCAGUCUGCGUUUCCUGCAAGGUUGCUCCUGAGCCCUGACUUGCGUUCCAGCUGUGAAUGGAGGUGGAUGGGUCUGGUGGAGGAACUCGGGCAGGGCUUCAUAGAGAAGCAGGGAUCUUUUGGUAAUCUUUGAUGGGAGCCUUGAAGGAGCAAAUGGGCACUGUUUUAGGCAAAGGCACAGGUGUGUGGAAGUGAGGGGAGCAGAGAUCUUAUCCAGUAGUUGGAAUAUCCUGCCACAGAGUCACACCUGACAGACGAGGCAGGGAACUGUCCAGGCCCUUCACAAGCUGGUCACAUCUUCAGUCAUCCAGGCCAUUCUCCUGCUCAAGAACCUUCCAUGGCUCCCCAGUGCCCACACACGAGAUUAUUUCAGGGUCCCCUCCCCUCUAACAGCCGUAGCCUGAGUCUUGGGCUCUGAUGGUGGAGUCAUCCAUCCUCAUGUCCCUAUGGGUCCUCCUGAAAAUAGAUCCUGGAGUCUCAAGUCUCAUCCAACUUGAAUCCUAUGGUGUCCCAUUGCUUAGAGGUUCCCCCCGCCUCCAUCUUCUAGACAUUAGCUAUACUUUGCAUAUGGGAAUAUUUCUAGAUAAGAUCUUGGUCUAGCAUCUUCUGAAGCAUUCUGGGGGCUUGUUCUGAUGAAGACUUCUGACGACUCAACCAAAGAUUAGAAACCAGUAAAGGGAAAAUGUUGUAUAAUUCUUGGGCUUUCUUGGCAUGAAGAAUUUGCCGUUUCCUAAUGGAAUCUCUGAGCAUCAGACUUUGUGACUGCCUGUGACCAGGAAUCGGGGCGGAGAGGAGGGCACAUUUAAGGGCAAGGGCACUUUGUACUCUGGGAGAGUUUAUUCCUCACAUCAUCCCAUUCACUCUUGGGUCCUAAUCCCCACUUCUCCAGAGACUCCAAUCCCGUUUCCUGAAGACUCCUACCAUCCAGCCACUCUUAGUCUUGAAGAGGGAGGUCUUUUGAAGUUUAGCCAUAAGCCUCAGCUGCUAAAAAAGCAUACAACCUCAGCUUUGCCCCUUUCAGCUCCUUGGGUCUUCUUAAGCAGCCCUGACAAGGGCUUCCCUUCCUGCCUCUUUGUAACUGGGCCACAUGGCCUUGGCCAGUCAUUCCGUCUCCUCUUCUACAAAGGAUGGAGUGGCAGGGGAGGGGCAGGCAUCCCCCAGAUACUGGAAAAGACGAAAGGAGAUAACGGUCACUAUGUACCAGGCUCUUGGUUGACAUUUCCUUGAGGGGCAGCUUUGGAGGGGAGAUGACCAAGUCCUCCCAACAGAGGGCCCCCCAGCUGGGUUCCCUUCCCCUGGGGACAUCACAUUUUCCAGGUAGAGUUAGUCUAGGACCUUCCUUGCACCAAAGAAUCAUGUCUUUACCAGCUCCUCUGACUCUUCUUUUGAUGGGUUCUCUUUUGCAGCCCUGCAGUCCCCAGUGGGCCGGUUGCUCGGUGAUGGUGUUGAGGGGGACGUUUCCCAGUAAACCAAAGCCCACCUUUCCCUGACAAACCUUGGGGAGUGUCCCACCCUUCCUUCACCUGAGGGACCACUGCAGCUGCCUCUGAGCUGCAGCCCCAGCGUCCCGGUGGCUCCGCAGGGCCCCCUCUGAGCAGUGUUUCCUGCUGAUUGAUUCUCUCAUCCAGCGAUUGUCCGCAGAGCCUUUGGGCAUCUGCCAUAAGCUAACCUCAAGAAGGAGGCCAUUGUGGUGAAUUGGACGGUCACGUUCCCUCACCUCAUAAGGCUAAAAUUCCAAUGGACUGUAUGCUCCCAAGAUGCACGAGGCCUUGAAACAGAGUCGGAUGAGUGGUUCUUGGAAGCAGAAUAUGGUUCGGCUCUUGCUACAUUUUCUUGAGCUGAAUUUUAGAAAAAUAAAAAUAAUCCAGUGAAAGGCAAAACACGAUUAGUGGGAACCCAAUGAAGCAGAACCCACAAUUAACAAGAUUUCUGUAUAAUUUGAUGGUUCCUCAGAGAAGAACACAGUCCAAAAACAGGCUAAUUAUAUAUUUUGCUUAUUCAGCCCCACAAAUAGCAUUUUGACAGCCAUUUGGGGCUGGAAGGGACCUCCAGGGGCCAUCUGAGUCCACCCUGUGCUUUAUCAGAAACCUCCACGGAAUAGAAAACGCAUCGGGUUAGGUGAAGCUAUUGGCCUUAUCAAGUGAAAUUGAAAUAGGAGAACAGACUGAUCCCAACUGAGAGGCUGGGGCUCUCUCAUGUGUCCAUAACUGUUGAUCAGAAGGUCUGCAGUUUAUCAAACACAGGACCUAUAGGCAAAGAUGUCAAAGAGGAUGAGGAGGUUAUAAGCCACUGAACUGCUUAACGAGGAGGAAGAAUUCCUAGUCUAUUCCCAGCAGGCCAAGAAAUUGCUGAUACUCCCUCUAUACUUUUUAAACUUUAGCCAACUGUGUAUACUCGUACCUCAAAACAUUAAACAUUACGGAAGCGUCGUUUGUGACCCUAGGCGUAGAAGAAGUUAAGCUUGAAUUAAAUUCAAACUCACACUGGUUAAAAUGAUCGGCCCGUACGCACAGGGGAUUCAUUCUGGGGGGUGGGGGCACGGAGGUGUGGUCGUCAUUGAUUCUUCUGAGGUGCGCACACAUAUGCACUGACUGGGUGUCUUUGGGUCUCUGGGUUUUUUCUGUUUGGGGGGCAUUGCUGGACAUUCUCAUGACUGCAUUGGUAAAAGGACCUGCGUGUUUUCUGAUGGUGAUGCUGCUGCUGUCUGGAAGGCCUCCAGAACUCGCUCCCCGGGAGUGAUGACAAUUAGGAAGAGUCGACCAGAAGCUGGGUCAGCCUGGCCACAUUCCCGGAGGAUGGAAUGGUUUGUCCUGAACCCCCUAGCAGGGACCUCCCUUCCCACGUUGGUGGGCAUCUGGGAUUUGGACCACAGGCCCGAGUGUGGUCAAGGCAUCAGACCUUGGGUGGGAAGCCGCACCAGAUUCGGCAAAGCCAGUGAUCCCCAGUGGACCACAGCGAACCAAAUUGAGAGAAGCCUACUGUUCCUGUUCCUGUCUGUUUUCCUUUUGUUUCUCUUCUCUGGCCUUCUCCGCCUGUGGAGAGGGUGCCUUCACAAAUGGCCUUAGAAUGCCGUUCUGAAGUUUAACAGAAUGAGACAACCAUCCAAUGAAUAUCAGAGGUAUUUACUAUCGCAGCUUAUCUGAAGAAUGAAAACAAAAACAAAACUGUAUCACCAAUGUUUACAAGUCCAAGUAGACAUCCAGCCCGUGUAAAAUAUGUAAUUUAUGCAAGGGAUUGCAUCUUUCUUUUGUAACGAAUGCACUAAGCAACCCUGUAUAUAUUUUACAAUGUCUUUACAGAAAAAAGAAAGAAUCAUUUACUGUAGUGUUGUAAAAUAAUGCACUUUUCUAAUUUUUUCAUUAAAAUCUCUAUGGCACGUUUGCAAAUGUGUCUUGG